rnacentral:rRNA from 1 species
GACGAACGCUGGCGGCGUGCUUAACACAUGCAAGUCGAACGGAAAGGCCCUGCUUUUGUGGGGUGCUCGAGUGGUGAACGGGUGAGUAACACGUGAGUAACCUGCCCUUGACUUUGGGAUAACUUCAGGAAACUGGGGCUAAUACCGGAUAGGAGCUCCUGCUGCAUGGUGGGGGUUGGAAAGUUUCGGCGGUUGGGGAUGGACUCGCGGCUUAUCAGCUUGUUGGUGGGGUAGUGGCUUACCAAGGCUUUGACGGGUAGCCGACCUGAGAGGGGGACCGGCCACAUUGGGACUGAGAUACGGCCCAGACUCCUACGGGAGGCAGCAGUGGGGAAUAUUGCACAAUGGGCGGAAGGCUGAUGCAGCAACGCCGCGUGCGGGAUGAAGGCCUUCGGGUUGUAAUCCGCUUUCGCCUGUGACGAAGCGUGAGUGACGGUAAUGGGUAAAGAAGCACCGGCUAACUACGUG